rnacentral:rRNA from 1 species
UACGUAGGGUGCAAGCGUUAAUCGGAAUUACUGGGCGUAAAGCGUGCGCAGGCGGUUGUGUAAGACAGAUGUGAAAUCCCCGGGCUCAACCCUGGGAACUGCAUUUGUGACUGCACAGCUGGAGUGCGGCAGAGGGGGGAUGGAAUUCCGCGUGUAGCAGUGAAAUGCGUAGAUAUGCGGAGGAACACCGAUGGCGAAGGCAAUCCCCUGGGCCUGCACUGACGCUCAUGCACGAAAGCGUGGGGAGCAAACAGG